AACUGUUCCACUAGGCCUCCCAACCCAAUGCAGACUGACAUGGGAGGCCCAAUGAGCUAUUUUAGUCAUGAGCCACUCAGGGAACCUGAUUAUCAAAGUCUAAACCACAAGAAGGGAUGCCUUCAGUUCAAGGGCUCUAUUUCUAGAAAUAACUGUAACGGUCUCUGUGUAGACUUCUAAGCCCAAAGAAAUGUUUUCAUGUUUUGACUUUUGAUGACUUCAAAAGCCUGUUGCCCUAAAAACUUCCUUGAUUCUCAGAAAAAAGCCCUGAGAGCUCGGUGUGGUUGAUGGAGCUGAACACACGACCCUCCUGGUACAGAUGGGCAUCAGCUAGCUGGGUUUUACCUGGGGGCCUUCUUGAAAACAGCCUAUUCAUAGUUGUCAGGAUGAUGACUGAUUCCGGCCCGAAACUGCUGACACCAUAAAAGAACAUUUUUAGUUAAUCUCCUUUCCCUCUUCAUCUGUCAAAUGAAAAGACUCAACUAACUCAUUUUCUUAUAAAGCAAACCGGAUGGAGACAACCAGCACCUAAGUCAGCCAUGUGUCCCUGUUGUUGUCUAAUUCAUGGCUAAGAACCUCCUGGAGCCCAAAAGAGGACCUGAGGGAGGGUUCAAGAACAGGGUCCGGGAAGGAGCCUCGGAGCCUCAUGGACCUGGAGAUCAGCCCUAGGGCAUGGUUAGGGAUUAGUCACCUCCAGCUGCAAGGUGAUUAUGAGAGAGAGAGAGAGAGAUGGUGGCCAAAGAAAACUCAGGAAGAGCGAUGCAGAAAAUGUGUUCCAGAAGUCAUUAAAACGUUGUUAGUUUUCUCUUUUCCAAAACACAUUGGCCACCUGUGGGGGGGGGGGGGUGAGGAAUUAAAAAACCUCCUGUCCUUACCUCUAAAGCCAGAGGGGAGAGAGUGUGACUGUGUCUCUUGGCAAUCAGGAAGGACACUUACCAAGCACUGACUAUGCAUCAAACCCCUGAAGAGCACUUCACAUUUGCCACAGAAGCUUCCCAACUCCGCUGGAUGGAUAUUAAUACAUUCUACUAUGCAGAAGUAAAAAACAAUGAUGCAAAGACCAUAAAUAAUUGUCCAGAUAAGUCUGAUCUGUACAACAGAAGAUGAAGCUAGCAGACAGGAGGCCAGGACCACAUUUAAUAAGACUCCUCUAACAAGAUCUAGGAGUGAUGUGGUUUAGGUGGCAUCUCUAAAAGAGAAGGAAGAAAAGUGCCUGUGUUCUCUGGUUGGCAGAGAGAGGGGACUAAACGUCCAGUCUCAAACUGUGGGCUCUCCUGUGCCUCUCAGCAUCUGUGGAAGGCUUUGGAAGGGGCUGUGCUGUGCUGAUGACGGGAAGGAGGAAAGGCCAUGGCCGAGGAGAACCCAAUCUUUGAAUGCUCCUGUAAGAGGUCUAUUUGAAGAAUUAAAGCAAUUU
rnacentral:lncRNA from 1 species